UGUCUGGUCCAGACUCGAUUAUUUACAGACCACUCAGCCAGCUGGUAGAUUUUAACACUGGACAAUGCUCAUAAACAGGUCGAAACUGGGAAGUGAAAGGUAUGCAAGUUUACACAGCCAGUGGCCAAGCCUUGCAGUGAUCAGGAGUAAUGAAGACAUAACAAAACAGUUUCAAGGGUACAUAUUUAUAUCAGGUUCAAGGUGUAUCAUUCAUACACACUGCUGUCUCAACUAGGGCUGUCACAGACUGAUAACAUACUCUUGUACUCAGUAACCUUUAAACGAGUGAAUUAUUUUGUUUCAAGACUAGGGACUUCUUCGUAAUUAUCCUGCCAAACUUGUCAGGGAACUAAGAGAUUUCACACUGCUAUAAACUUUGGAAGACUUUCACAACUUCAUGAUUUCAAUGUGUGCAAUGAACUGAACAUUGGGGUUUGAAAUACACGUAAGACAGUUGGUUCGAGAGCAGUAGUAAAACUUCGGAAGGACCAGAGGUAUUUCCUCAAUAGCAGCAACUCGGAUCACGGAAAAUACCCCAGGGUAAUGUCCUUCAGGAAUGGCAUUUUUCCACCUAUUUUAUUCUACAUUAGUUAUAAAUUGUCAUU